rnacentral:rRNA from 1 species
CUACGGGACGCAGCAGUGAGGAAUAUUGCACAAUGGGGGGAACCCUGAUGCAGCAACGCCGCGUGGAGGAUGACGCAUUUCGGUGUGUAAACUCCUUUUAUAUGUCAAGAAAAUGACGGUAGCAUAUGAAUAAGCACCGGCUAACUCCGUGCCAGCAGCCGCGGUAAUACGGAGGGUGCAAGCGUUACUCGGAAUCACUGGGCGUAAAGGACGCGUAGGCGGGUUGGAAAGUCAGGUGUGAAAUCCUACAGCUUAACUGUAGAACUGCAAUUGAAACUUCUAAUCUAGAGUAUGGGAGGGGGAGAUGGAAUUAGUGGUGUAGGGGUAAAAUCCGUAGAUAUCACUAGGAAUACCUAAAGCGAAAGCGAUCUCCUGGAACAUUACUGACGCUAAGGCGUGAAAGCGUGGGGAGCAAACAGGAUUAGAUACCCUUGUAGUC